CGUACAUAAGCGAACAGCUGUUAUGUUGUUGCUACAGUCACUGUAGUUGUUGCUAAGCCGGAAACAAAGCAUGUGAAUAUUUUUUUAUUUUUUUUGGCACGACGUCGUUUGCGAAGUGCACUUCCUUGUUCUGACCUUGCCUUUUAUGGGCUGGAGCGAUAUGAUACGUGAUAUGCCACGGCGAAGUUGUCGAAGAUGCGACGGUGCUACGCUGUUAGAACAGUUCAUCGGAGCAUUCAAGUGUUACCUAUUAUAAGCUACCAAAAGACCAAGCAGUGCGAAGCUCUUGGCUGACAGUGGUGCCUGCUAAUUUCCACUGCAAGGAUUUUGUCCACGAAUGUUAUCAUAGGUUACGCGCGACUCCAGAGGCAAUUUGGAAUCUCGGCACAAAAAAAGUCUGAUGAAAAUUUGAGGUGCCCGACGCACAGUGAACAUUUUGAACGUGCUACGGAGGAUCAAGGCAAAAAACGAGAGCAAAAAAGGUGCACGCUGAAGGCGGAAAUGAAGCAUGAUCUGGCUUGCAUCUGGUACAUGAAGAAAUUGCUGACACGUUAGUUGCAGUCAACCUCCACCAACAGUGAUGAGCAUCCAUAAGGACACAUGCCAGAAAGGGAGUCUCUUUGGGAUGACAAAGCCUCAUCACCUCGUGAGGAUACAAUGGUUGACGAAUGGUUCUCAAGUACAUCAAAACUUCAACAAAUACUGUAGAAGUCAUUUUUUCCGCGUGGAAAAUAUUUUCGCGUUUCCGAACAGAGCUGGUUUGAGGAGUUAUUCGCGAGAAGUUAAAUUCGCGACACAGGUUUCCGGGGGUGCUUUGCUCUUGCAUAUCGUGCCGCCGUCAACACUCCGGCAUGUUUCGGCAAGUACUAAGACAUCCUUUGUUCACGUUAAUGGCGGCAUUCUAGGUCAAUUCCUUUCUUCUCCUCACAGACAUGGGAGGAAAUGCCCUGUACAAUGGCCUUUAGGGACCCUACAGGAGGUCAUAGUACUGGCCGCGUGCAGGUCAGCCACUUGAUUUUAGCAGCUCUCAUUCAUUAUCACUCAGGCACUGAACAGUUCGGUUGAGGUGUGCUAGUAUCAUACAAGCUGGUUUUGAGGUGGUAUAGUGGUACACUGUAUGUACAGUGCAACGGGUUUGUAAGGGUUUGUAGGGUGAUCGAUUUUCAUUUCCUUACAUCUAGCCUGAUGGGAUAAAACAAUCUUCUGCGGCUUGCUUAAACUGCCUACACUGCAUGGAGCAGAAAGAGUCAAGGUAGUCACGGUACAGCGUCGAACGCCGAACGAUUUUCGCCCUCAUGUGGCUAGAGUUAUUCGCGGGAACUUAAAUUCGCGAUUUUGGAGGAGUGCGCGAAAAACGCGAAAAAUAAUUCCGCGCGAAAAAAACCACUUCUACAGUAAUUCAUGAAAAAGCCAGUCAGUGCUAGCACCAGGAAUUGAACGUGGGCCGUCCUGCUACCAAUCAGAGAUGUUACAUUUCAGGCGCUCAUUGACUUUUGGUGAAUUACUUGUUGACUUUGUCCCAAGGUGGAGCUCGCCACAGCUCAUUUGCCUAUCUGCUAAUGUUGUGGCGUGUGUUGCGGUUUUCUGUUUGUGUGUUCCAGACUCAGAACGGUUAAUUUGAAUCAGGUCAGGUACGUUUCAUUUAGACAUGGCAAACAUAAAGUGGUGUUUCUCAACACAACUUAGCAGUGGCCUUCAUGCAUUACUGCUACGGCCAUUAAGCGUGAAUGGAAAGGAUGGAUGUAAAACCCCAAGACUAGGGAACACGAAGGGACAGACACAAACACGUCCCUUUGUGUUCCCUAGUCUCGGGGUUUUACAUAUGCAUCAUCUUCACCAGCUCGCUUGCUUCCUAGCCAUUUUUUCUGCACAUUAUGUUCACUCUACUUUUAUCGUGUGCUAUGUAAUCUUGUUCAAGUUCUGUCAAACGAGCGUGUAAUGCUAUCAAAAAAUCCAGUACACUCUUUAAGUGGGAUGAAUGGUAGCGCAUGAAUGCAGGAAGGAAACUGUCAUGUUAUGGCAAGUUUUUAUGUAUUGUACAUUUAACUACUAAUUUUAUUGGUUAGCUUUCGCCGGCGUAUCAUGUCAAGCCAUGUUGUAUUAAUUUGGAACAUGUUCUUCUUAGUAGCCAGCGCAGCUGAUACACAGUGAGAACAUCGCCCGUGUGUGUUUGUCUUUCCACUGCAGCCCUUGGGUUUCCUCCCUGAUGGCUACACAUGUCAGGGAUAGGUUUCAGAACCGGUAGUUCCCGCCAAGUGUGAAUUGAUUUUCAGGAGAUCAUCAGAGAGAGAGAGAGAUUAUGGUUUUAAUGGCACAAAGGCAACAAAGGCCAUAGAGCGCCAAAGCUACGGUGAGUGUGUGAGAGAUGCUUAUGGGAGAGAUGAUGUGAGAGUGUGUGGUAGUUAAAAGCUAUCUACAGGUAUGAGCGAUGAAAUGGACCAGGAUAAGAAAGAGAGGAGGGUGAACAGGCUAACGUGCUUGGCGGACGAUAACAAUUCACGUGGCGCUGGUGAGGGCGACUCUGCUUUACAGCCUUCCUAUCCUGCACAGGAUGUGAACAACAACACUAAAUACCCUUCGGUCCCUGUUUGCUCGAGGCCUUCGUCGCUGCCUCGGAGCUCCAAGAAUGGCUGAAACACGGGAAGUCCUGGCUGAAGCUGGUGAACUACCGGUUGAGGUUCAACGUGAACGUGAAACGGCUCGGCACUUUCUACGUUUGCGAGCUCACAUUCUCCGUCACCCGCUCCUCAGGAAGAUUCGAUACCGCCCACAAAGGGACACGCCAGACUCUCACUGGCUUCAUAUAGCUAAGGACAUUAUACCGCCGUAAGCCCCCUGGUCUCUGCCGGAACCGCCGACCUUCGUAAGCCUUCCAAGCCUUUUGUAAAGAAGAGAUCAGGUUCCCCCUCAAGUCCUUCGAGCCCAUUUUCAUGCUCUGGUAGACGAGAAGUUUUGUACGUUCACAGCAGCAUAUACAGAUGGCGCAUCCCGAAAUAACAAGUCCGCCUCAGCAUUCGUUAUACCAUCCGAAGGCGUAGUACAAGGACGACGCCUUUCACAUCCAACCUCGUCAGCAGCUGCGGAACUCUAUGCCAUCCUUUUCCUUCUGCAACACAUCGCUGACUUUACCCCGCGGGCAUGGGCAGUAUUCACAGACUCCAAAUCUGCACUUCACGCUAUUGAAAAUUCCGGCAUACGAGGCCCAUCCGCACCCCUGGUCACAGAUGUGUUAAUGGCUUACCAAACUGUCGACGGAGCAGGCCACAGGCUAGUUCUCCAGUGGGUUCCAGCCCAUUGUGGUGUCGUGGGAAAUGAGCAGGCCGACAGCGCCGCAGAAGAAGCACUCUCGUAUCGGAAACGGACCUGUAUUGUUCUGCUGAGAGGAGCCCGUCGUUCCAUUCUGCCACGCCUCGCGACAACCCUGGCUUCCCGCCAAUGGACAACCGACAUUCUCCCCCCAUCUAUGUUGAGCAGAGUCGAUCCAACGCUUGUUUUCCGCAUGCCACGAAGCACCCCUCGUCAAGAUGCUGCAUUAAUCCACCAAAUGCGACUCGAUGUGGCCUUAUACAGCUCAGUGGCGUUACCGCUUGAGACAAGUUGACUCUUCCACCUGCUGCCACUGUGGUGCUCUAGGGGAUCUGGAGCACAUUCUUCUUCAUUGCCCUAACUACCAACCUUCCCGGACCUCACUGUCCGAGUCUCUUCGUCAGCUGGACUCUCGCCCCUUCUCCCUCUCGAAAUUGUGUCCCUGGCCCAAUCCAGCCCAGCAACGAUCAGCGCUCAAAGCCCUUUUGACAUUUCUGGACACCAUCGGACUCCGAUCGUUAUUCUCGUCGAGCUCGUCGAGGGCUCGUGGAGUAUCUGUAUUUUAUACCCCACAUCCCCACCAGCAAUGGGGUAGAGUAUCGCCUCUGGUGAUGAACCUCCCCACUCUCCUUCUGAAAAUAAAGUUGUUGUUAGUUUCAAAAGUAUUCAAGUAUGUUGCUUCGAUAGACCCCGGUAACGGCAAGAAGCUUUGCGAUCGUCACGCUGGACCCCCCUUCCAUAUAUAUUAUUUUUUUCUCCUCAGAUUUGCGCGAUUUCCGUGAGUCAGCCUGUGGCAAGUAGGGGGCUCGAGUACCCUUAUCCCCCCCGUGGCUACGCCACUGCCUGUACCGCAGAUGCGAUACCCAACCUUCGCAGGAUGACUUAAGUUCAUUAUAUUGCACAAACUGGGUUUCCACCACACAAGGGGUCCCGGUGCCAAGUCAUGAUCCUGGUAUCAAGUGUCAGCUUUCCAUCGGUACGUACACGAUCAAAUGCCUCGGAGAGAUACAAAAAGAAAAUGUUAAUUUGUUGGUUUCUAUCUAAAGCUAAUACAAAGUCAUGGAUUAAAAAUCAGACAGAGCCAUGGCAGCGGAGUAAUCCCCACGAAAUCAAUGCUGCAAGGAGGUUAGUAAACCAUUUUCUUUAAGGAAUUAUGUUACUUGAAUAUGAUGUUACUUGUUUGGAGAAGAUGAGCUCUAACCAUUCACAACAGAUGGAAAGAAGACAUACUUGGAAACCAAAGAUGAGGCGCUGCUGCCUUACGUAUCGGUUUUACACGAGCGCAUUUCCCCUCCUUCGGAACAGUCCCUUCGUCCAGCAACAUCAACAAAAUAAUCUUGAGGAAUUGCGUGACCCACUCGUACCUUCUUAGAAAAUCAUUCGGAAUAUUGUCUUGUCCAGAAGACCACCACAAUACCGCGUCCUGGAGUAGCCAGUCCUUUGGACUAUCAUAUCCACUUUUUUCCUUUAACGACCAACCCGCAGAAGACUUCUUGAUAUUUAGCUUCCUCAGAGGCAAUAGUAACAACAACAACAACUUUAUUCCAGGAUGAUGAGUGAGGAGUUUCAUCGCCGGGGGCGAUACUCUACCCCAUUGCUGAGGUGAAGCGUAGAAUGAAAUAAUGGGCCCCGUUACAAUAAGGAUCCAAGUCCUGUGGUGUCCAAUAACAAAUACAGAUACAAGUACUGAUUUAACGUAAUGUAAGACUAAUAAUAAUUCGGGGCUGUUAGCCGUGAGCCAACGGUUAUAGAUCCGUGAUUAAAUGACUUGGCCACA